rnacentral:misc_RNA from 1 species
AUCCGCAUGUUGCAUCAUCCUAUAACAAUCUGGCAGAGUUCUACAGAGUAAGGAAGGAAUUUGAGAAAGCUGAGCCUUUAUACUUAGAAGCUAUAAAGAUUCUGGAGGAGUCGUUUGGGCCUGAUGAUAUACGGGUGGGGGCUGCUCUUCACAAUGUUGGGCAAUUUUACCUUUCGCAACAGAAACUGGACCAAGCUCGAAUAUUUUAUGAGCGGGCUUUAAAGAUUAAGGGCCGCAUCCUAGGCCACGGCCAUCCAGACUAUGCAAAUACAAUGUAUCAUCUUGGAACUGUGCUGCA